rnacentral:rRNA from 1 species
UACGAAGGGUGCAAGCGUUAAUCGGAAUUACUGGGCGUAAAGCGUGCGUAGGCGGUUUCUUAAGUCCGUUGUGAAAGCCCUGGGCUCAACCUGGGAACUGCGAUGGAUACUGAGGAGCUGGAGUACGGUAGAGGAAGGUGGAAUUCCCGGUGUAGCGGUGAAAUGCGUAGAUAUGCGGAGGAACACCGAUGGCGAAGGCAAUCCCCUGGACCUGUACUGACGCUCAUGCACGAAAGCGUGGGGAGCAAACAGG